rnacentral:tRNA from 1 species
CAAAAAUUAGUUAAUUAUAUAAUACAGGGUUGUCAUUCCUGAGUAAUCUUUAGGGAUAUUUUUGU